AGUCAAUUGAAACACUUUAUGUGGAAACUCAGGAAAUUUUACUGGCAAAAUUAUUUCAACAUUUACAGGUCUGAACUUUUGACUUUGGAUGUCAGCCCAACUGAAUGUUUAGGGACCGAGAAUAAUGAUUAAUUACCAUUUCUCCAAAGAGGCUGAAGUGUUGAGGAGAGAUGAAACAAGGCUCUUUUAAAAUUUAACACAUUUACUCGAAGAUUAGAUGAGGGGAUAAAUAAUAUAUAACAAAAGCGGUAACUGAGACCGCUCCGUGAUAUGGGAGGAGCAAACGGUGCUGGGUUGCUUCUGCAUCAGAGUUAGCUGCUGUCUUUGGGCUCAGGUAAGAACAGUUAAAACAAUUUUGUUGAUAGCCCACUGUUCACCAGGCAAUUGCUAACAGAUUUAUGUAUGUCGUAUCCUUUGGUUCUUACUAUAAACCCAUGGGUAGAUAUUAUUAUAACUGGCAUUCUAACCCUGUGGAAAUUAUGGCUCAUAGAGGUAAAUACACUUGCCCAAGGUUACCUGGCUAUUAAUCGACAACCCCAGAAUUCCAAGCCUUGAGCCUCUGACUUUGAAGCUAAUAUUUUUAACUAUUCCUACUCCUCCCAUAUGUUUUAUGGUAGUUGGGAGAAAUGUAGGCUCAUUGCUUGUAGCAAACCUCAAACACCUGAUCCAAGAGGCUGAAAGGUGAGUGUGGAUGUCCACUCCUCUGGGUCAGUGAAACUGCUUCUCUGGUCAUUGUCAGCCCUUUGCCAACACCCCACAGGCACAGUUUAAGGCUGACAUCUUGAACUUGGCCAGGUGCAGUGGACAGAGGGGACCUGGCUCUGGAUGUGAAACCCAGAGAGAGACUGUGGCUGCUUGGCCAACUGUCUCUCUGCCUGUGUGCUGUGGUCUUCCGACUCAGAUGGAUUAAGUCUGCAGCCAGAAGUACUUCUCAGCCUCUGGUAUUUCUUAAUUCAGUGGAGUAUUUCACAAGCAUCAGAGUUAGAGGCAGAAUCAACAUGUCUCAGAAUCAAUCCCCUCCUUCAGACGCUCCUGCCUGGUUUGUUGACUUGAGGCUUCUGUGGAUUAAGCACUGUUGCAGAGUUCUGGAAAUUGUUUUUUUCAUUCUGUUUUCCCCGCUCUCUCUGCCCUUCGAAUUCGUCCAUCAUACCCUUGAAGGUCCUUCUUGUUGGCUUCCUCCUUUUAUGGCCUUCUUUUCUGGCAACCUGAGAAAUGGUGUGGAGUGAUUUUGUUGGCACCAUCUCAACACCCAGAGCCCUGAACGGAUUUCUUCAUGGCUUCUUGAGUAGAGAUGUGCUGGAAAUGCUAAAUAUACCACACAGUAUUUGGGCUUCCCAUGUACAAACUUCAAACCAGCAGUCCCCGAGCUCUUGUGGUUCACACUGGUACCCAGGCCUGAAUACAAAUCAGACCACCAUGUUCUUCAAAAGGUGUCAGCAUUCAUGAAAGUUGAAUAUGAGUGAGCUACUCUUAUUUUUAUAAUUUCAUUUAAAUAAUAUAAUUUAUUAUCAUAAAUUUACAUGUUACUCUACUGCAAAUUAAGCUAUACCAGGCUUAGCUCCAAGCACAAAGUAUACCCCUUAUGAAUAUUAUUCUUUUCACAGAGACUCCUAGGAAGGACAUAGAUUAUAUUUAAAUAUUUUAAGAAGUCAUUUAUUUUCAGUGAAUUCAGGGACUUACACUGUGAUUGUUUGUCCGGCCUUUCCCCAAACCUGCAGAGCAGGCCAUGUUGAGCUAGUUGGGUGCAACUUCUUCAUUUCUUUGCCACAUCUUUGUUGAGGGCUUCCAGUUGCAGGUCCUGCAGCGUGUCCAAGCAGUGGGGGGAGUAGAAGUGGACUCAGAGCAGUGCCUUCACAGUGGCGUGUCCCAUCUGCUGCGUAGACCAGGUGUGCAGAUGUAAGACCAUUCAGCACAGGACACGAGGGAUAGGUCCUCUCACAGCAUGACUGAUGUGACCCGGAGGAGAGAUGGAUGCCUGAAACCCAUCAGAGCCUGCUGACACUGCUGGCUGCUCUGGGACCACCCGUCUCAGGCCACCAGCCAGGAGCCACCUCCUUCCUCUUCCUUAGAGCCGGGUGCCAACACCCAGAGGGCCACAAGAGGGUGCUUUCCUCCUUCCAGGUUAUAGCAGCUCCUUCCACUUCAUGGAACUGUGUUUCCUGGGCCCUGGGAAAUUCAGGGGUGGGCAGAGGGACGCCAUGCGAGGUGAGGGAGAGUGUGAGCAGUGUGUAUUUCUAUUUUUGUCUGUAUUUAUGGAAUCUCUCCUCCACUGAACUGCAAGCUCUGGGACGGGAUCUUGCCUUUUGACUGGCUUACUGUCUGGCACCCCAGAGUUCCUAAAUAAAUACUCCUGAGUUCAAAGAACCCAUCUGGACUUCAAGUCCUCAGUCAGAGGCCUUCAGGUUGUCUGACCAUCAGAUCCACCCAGGGCCAGCCUGCCCUGACAUUCUCCUUCAGUAGUGGGGCCGAAAUGUGCUUUGGAAAGCUCUUACAUUACUCUGACUCGAGGGCUGCAGACCGGCUCUUCCUGCCCCGCACAUGGCUGCCUGGCUUCCCUCCCCGGGCCCCCAGCUGCUGGUGUGUGGGGAGCACAUGCCCGCUCCUGGGCCUGCCGUGGAGGUCCCUUCAGCCUGAGCGGCCUGCUUCCCCAUCCUCCCCCUCUUCUCAUGGGCAUCCCCUCCCGUCAUCCAGGCCCACAGAGGAAGGGAAGUCCCCAGAGUCACCUUCAUGGGCGGAGGAGUGGGGGCACCUGGGAAGACCCAUGCAGCAUAACAAUGAUAUCUUGGUUUCCACCCCAGGGGCUGCCCCUUCUGCAGGUGGCACACAGGGGCCACCUCUUCUGUUACACUGAACUGAAUACUUAGACGAACAUGGGUGCGACAGUGGAGAGCCCCCCAAGGUUGGGGCAGGGUUUCUCUUAACAACUGAGACCAGUAAAUCUGUUUUCCAGAUUUCCAGCAGGAAACUCAAGGGUAUUGUGAUGGUUAUGGAGGAGAGUAACACUCGAUAAAGAAGGGUCCUUUUAGGCUGGGCAUGUUGCUCAGGGGCAGAGCACUUGCCUAGCAAGUGGGUUUGAUCCCAACACCCCAAAAGGAAGGGUCCUUUUGUUUUGGGGCUUGGCAGUGCUAGUGUAGGCACACAAAGAGCUGGGGCCUUGGGGCGAGUGUCUCUGUAUAGAGCCCGGGUGAGUGUGCCUCACCGGGGUGUCUGUGGACGGGUCAGCUAACAGCGUCAGUUCCAUGAAGUCUUUUCUCAUUGACCAGGCUGGAGAUUAGUACCUGUUCACAGGGUCACAUGCAGAGUUGGUUUUAGUUAGUUACAAAGUUGUCAGUUUAUGUUCAGUAUCAAUAGAAGAAACAGCUUUUGAAACUUGCAUUUGAAACUCUGUUUUAGGAUGUGGUAGAGGAAGUUAUUUUCUCUCCAUUGGAAAGAUUCUGGCUUGAUUUUUCUGAUGGACGUGGUGGUCUGUGUGACUCACUGCUGGUCCAUGGGCAUCGACUGUGGGCGUCACCGUGAUGGCCACCCUGGCCUCACCUUGGCUCUGUUUAUAUUCUUGCUUUUUAAAAAAACUUUCCUCUCACUUUUUAUUCAUGUUUUGUGCAGUAAGUAUUUGUGUCAGUUGUGUUUUCAAUCUUUCCGAGAUGAUGAAUAAAUUCUGAGACAAUAAAAUUUGAAAGAUGCAUUUUUCUUAAAUAAACAAGCAAGCAUGCCGAAUGCAGUUCUCACAGGGCUGGCUGGUUGGGAGCUGGCCCAUAACAGAAACGUCAGCUUUAUGUAAGGGUCUCUUUCUCCUCUGUGAGUUUGAGUGGAGACUCACAGGGCCGUAUUAGAAGGGUGUGGUAAAGGGAUUCUCACCACCGAAGCCCUGAAAGGUGCUCCUGCGUUAGGUAGCAACCAGGUACAAUUUUAAAACAAGCUGCGGGCCCACAAGGUUCAAUUUCUGCAUGGAAUCGUCUAUCGACAAGCCCAGCCUCGACCCAAAAUAAUCGAACAGGUAUUCCAGUCUUUGUAUGAGUUUCUCAAAGCAGUCAAGGGGGACUGGCUCUUUGCCAGCCACACAUUGUGAAAUCUUGGUUCCUCGCCUUUUGAAUCCCCUUCCACUAUGGCUUCUGUCACGCUGUGGCUCUGGGUGGUGCCUCUGCCUGGGCUGCUUUGGUCAGAGGCCCGUUUUCUCACACCUCUCUGGAUUUCCUUCUCACGACCCAUUCUCUGAUUCUCUAUCAUAAAAGAUUUAUGAAGUAGGCUGACAAAGACGAUUCUUCUGCUGUGGGUGGGUUGGGAAUUCUCAGAUGCUAAUAAAUCUCUGUCAUCUGGGAAAUAAAAAGAGGGAUGAACGUGGUAGAAAACCCUGGAAUGCGGCCUUGCCUCAGGAGUAAGUGCGGGCUGCAGCGCCUGAAGGGGGCAGUUGAGGCAGAGGUUCCAGAGCUGGCCUCUUCUGCUCCUGUCUGUAACCACACUUCCCUGGCUCCAGGGCAAGGGACUUCAUGGCCUCAGCCUGGAGGUAGAGUCGCAACGCCCUCCUACUGGACCAGGCUGAAGGUGUAGGUGCCGAUCGGGGGACAUCUGGGGGGAGCAAAGGAGCCAUGCUGCCCUUGGUCUCCGUGAAGUGCUGGAGUGGCCGCAGAACCACACCACCCUCUUCAGUGUGGAGCAAGGAGGGAAAGAGUCCAAUUCAUUACACCCAAUUUCCUGCUGGAAAGUGGAGGUUUCCAUUCACAAAGUGAGUUAUUUUCUUGCUCCAAGAAAUCCAGUAAGUAAUAUGUUUAUUUACUGCAAACCCAUAUGCUUAUAUAUGGUACACCAACUUCUGGUCCCUGAUCAAGCCUCCUGUGUAAGGAUCACAGUUGAAGGGAAUCAGAAAUAGGUAGAGGCUAGGACAGAAGAUUGAGCCACAGAAAUAUUGACCCAGUACCACAGGGUUAAUUGAUAGGAUCAUUCGAAUUGAACUUAUGGAUUUUCCUUCUCACUUUAUAUUCUUUUCUUCAGUGAAUAUUUAUUGAGUGCCUGCUAUUUGUGAGUUCUGCUAAGUGCUAAGAACAUUAAGAUGAUAAGGCACUGGCCUCUGCCACCCAGGAACUGUGUCAUAGAUAGUAAGGGACACGGGAGAGUACAGAGGAUAAUUAAAUCACAACACACACAAGGCCACAGUUGGGGUAAACCAGAAAGUGGUGGGAACCCAGAAGAGGGAGGAACUCCUGUGACCUCCAAGGGUCACGGAGGGGAGCCCUGGGGCCAGGAUUAUGCGUAAGAAAGAGUUUGCUCUUUUGCCGGGGUUACAUUUACUAGGUUUUAGUUUGAUCACUCUGUUUCACAAAUAUUAGAAACCAUCUUCUGGCCAAAUAUGGUCUUAGCAUUUGGUCUUUUGGUUCUCCCAAUUAGUGACAGACCACGGUAGCAUCCCUGGAAUGUUCUUCUGAGCUGAAGAAUGUAAAAGAUGUAAUACACAGUCAGAAGCCGAUCACACCCCUGGGGCCUAGCAGACAAGUGCUCUGAUUUGUUAAUAAGUUUAUGGGAGACUCUCACUUGGGCCACCCAGAGUUGCCUUCCUGUGCUGAUAACACCCUUAAAAUAUACACUAGUUUUGGGAAAGAUGAUCAUUCUGAAAUGUUUGUGUCCAAUCUCCAGGUCCAGGCUGAAUGGACAGAUGUCGCUGUCACCAGGGGCCACUGGCAGUGACUUGGAAUGACUUAGCAUGUGGCAGAAGUCCCUCCAAGCAGGAGUGAAUUUGUUGGGAGAGCUUGCAGCCAGGGGCCUUGUUUGAGGGUGCAGCCUGUUCAACACCCGGCGGCACCAGGUCUCUAAGGCUUUCCCUAGCUCCGCAACACAUUUCUUGCCAGUUUUUAGAAAUAAACUCUGAUUUAGAGCUUUGUAUUUCUUCCUUAGUGUUUGUUAUAAAAGUGACCGUUAAAUACAAGGUUUUAGUGACUCAAACAGUUGGAGGCCACAGUUGGGCUGACAGCUUUAGUAGAGUUGUAUUUUCAAUUUUUUUUCCCCCAGCCUGAUUUUGGCUUUAAGUUAGAUUGUAAUAAUCGUAGUAGAGCUCCUCCCUGUCCUUCCUUGAAGCGUUCUUCAGACCCAAGGCCUUUCUAAGAGUAUUUAUGACAGGAAUCCCGUGCCAUUUUAGAGCUUUCCUCUUCUGUGGGGCCCGCAUCUUAUGGGUCUUCAUCUUCUGUAGCACUGCAGGAAGCAUUCUCCAGAAAGAUCUGUGGGGAGGACUCGGCCCCUGUCAUUUGCAUGGAUGUGGCUCUGGUGGGCUAGUUCAGGAUUGGUGUUGGACUCUUGUCAUCUGGGUGUAUUUUCCAGCUUAGUUAUUUGCUAGCUGUGGGGCCCUAGGCACCUCAGUGCACAUUUCCAUGCUACGUUUACCUCAGCUGAAGAGGUAAUGAUGGCAGUGCCCACCUCAAAGGGUGAUUGGAAGGAUCAGCCAGUUAGAAGACUUGAAGCGCCUUGGAGUAGCUCUUUGUAGUGGCAAGUGCUGAACAAAUGUUAGCUGCUGUUAUUAUCUUAUGAGUUCACAAAGGUACGUAGCAUCAUUGAUGAAGCCGAAUGAUCCAGUGGCCAUCAAGUCAUCCCACGGGGUGACUUGGGUCUGUGGGUUGCGCUUGCUUGCCAAUGGUGGGUAGAGGAAAUUAAACGCUAGACCACCCAACUCCAUCGGUGUCAAUGCAGAAUGAUGAUCUUCUCGAGACAGUGGGAGGCAGUGUAGCUCAGGUGCCAAGAGCCUUGGUUUGGAGGAAGUCUGGUGAAAUAGCAGCUCUGCCACUUGCAUGGCCUUUUUGUGUCUCAGUUCUCUCAUCUGUAAAAUGGAGCCAAUUCCCCGUGAGACCGUUCAAAGUACAAUAUAUAUGGAUUUUUGGAACACAUACUGAACACUCAAAAAAUUAUAGAAGGUGAACAGAGGCGGGAUGGAUAGGUGUAGGGUGAGGGCUUUUCAUUUACGGCUUGCUCCCUGGUACAAGGGACAGGGGCAGGGGCUUUCCCAGGGCAGCAGGCAUCCAGCAGAAAAGGGGAACACUCAGUCCUCCUUCACUUUAACAAUGUCAAGAGAAGUUACACAACCCAGGAGCCUAAUGGCAAUUUGCUGUUGUCAGUGUUAUAAACAUACGUGUGAGGGUGGACAGCUUUGUCCAAUGAGUCACUGUGGAGCUGUCCCGUCUCGCCCAGGCGCUAUGCUUGCACAAGAUGGGGUGACAUCAGCUUAGGAAAAGACCUGGUUUUUCUACUUACUGCUGGAAACAGUGGUAGUGGCUGUGCUGUCCCAGGGUUUGUUCACUCUUACAAGGUUCCCAAACUGCAGUGGAUUAAAACUCAGGUGGAAGACUCGUAUGAAGGGCUCCUGCCAUAAGCCUCAUCCCCAGCAGUCCCAGUUUGGCAGGUCCUCUGUGUGGCCAGGGGGGGCUCUGCAUGUGACAGACUCUCCAGCUGCUUCCCACACUGGUACUUAGAAGAUGACGCUUUAAGGACAAAUUCAAUGAGGAUGGCAGAGUAAAAUUCCCCUGAAGAAGUCAACUGUCCCCUGCACUGGCCUUAUCCCUAGCGUGGUGAUUUGCUCCUAAAAAGGCAGGAGCAAAAAAGCCAAUUCUGCUUUAUUUGGAGCCAAGACACUGCUUAAUAACCUGUGUUAAUUGUUUCUCACAACACUGCGUGAGGGACAUGAUAUUCAUUCCAUUUGACAGAAGAGAAGUCGGGACACAAGGGAGAGUUCUUUAGGGGUGCCGUGUGGUUUGGUGCAAGCAUGAGUUAUGGGCAGACAUUACACAGGUCCUUCAAUUUGUCCCCAGCCAUCUGGGUAUUGCUAAACACAUCUGUUCCUUCUCCUGGAGAGGAUGCUCCAGUGUCACCAGAUGAUUUAAAUUACGUCAAGAGAGGGGCUCCAUUUGUCCACUUCUCUGGUUUGCAGGGAUGCUCAGGGGAUCCUUGGUUUCUGUGAGUGGCAUUCAUUCAGGGCUUGGGUUUUUAAUUCUGAAUUUUGAUUUGCAUUUGCCUGGGGUGUUAUUCUGCCAGGGCCUUCCCAGUCUGUUCUCUGCUGCUUUGCUCCUGAAGCUUUACAGCUAAUGGAGGGAUAAAGAAAGGUCACGGCAAGAGGCGGCAGCAUGUGCUCGUGACUCACUGGCGGGCCUGGUGCGGAGCCAGUUUGGGUGGGACGCUUGCUCGACUGGCUGCUGGGCCUGCUUUCAUGUGGCUCUCAGCCACGGCCCUGCAGGAAGCAGUUUCUCGCCUGUUCCUGGGCAGAGGGAAGGCCUGAUAUUCUACCUGUCCCCUGCUGUUGUAGACUCGGGUCAGUGCAAUGGAGCCUGUUGGCCCUUUGAGGAAGAAUCCAACAGUCAGGUGCUUGGCAGCUCAGGAGACUAUGGCUAAGCCAGACCUGGGAGGAGCUGGGUUUAGAGACCAGUCACAGCUACUGCAGCCAUGAGGGGUGCAUUAGCAUCAGGGCCUGAAGGAGGUCACAUGGGGCUGCACUGGCAGGGCACAGUCUAUCUCUCUCUGUUGGCAUUUGAGACCCAGGGAUUGACUGCUGUGCUAUUAGCAGCAUCCCUGGCCUCUGCCCGCUGGAGGUCAGUAGUCUCCCCACCCUGCUCAGUCCAUGCCACCAGCACAAUCAGCUCUGGUGGAGACCACUGUGGUGUGGGUGGGUCCCAGGCAUGUGGCUGUCCAGGAUUAAGGAGAUCCAUGCUCCAUUCUGACUUCCUCGUCAUCAUAGCUAGAGUUUACUGAGUACUCACCGUGUGGUGGGUACUCUAUAUUUUGCAUUCAUUCUCCUAUUCAAAUACACAACACUCAGCCACAGAAACUCUUAUUGCUCCCAUUGUAUGGAUAAGAAAACAGAGGUUCACAAAAGUUCCUUACCUAUGUCACACAGCUUGGGGCUUGAGCCUGAGCAGGAGGCACCCCCUCCUCACCCUGUGGCCCUGUGGAGUGGAGCUCUCGUCAGGAAUCUUGCAGAAGGGCCGAGGUGCAGCAUAGUGGCCACCAGCUGAGCCGGAGGUGAGCCCUUCCCUUCAGGACUGGGGUCCAGGAGUCUAAGGACAAGCCCUGUGGAGGUGGUUAGGGUCGCAGAUGCACUGAUACCAGGCAGAGGAUUCAGACGAGAUGCACCUUGCAGGGUGGUCAAAGGUAGACCUUACCUAGGCUACCUGUUCCUGACCCCUGAACCCUGAGACACGACCCCUGAUGUGAGCCCAGAUGUGCCUUCUUCACUUCAAAUGCAGCCCUUGUGACCGGUCCCCACCCACUCGGUUACUCCUGGAGGACCAGCCCUUCUGUGGCAGUGUUCCUGCUGCUUCUGCUGAUGUCCUGCUGCCUGGGGCCAGGGGCAUGCCUGAGCUCGGAGUGGACGCUGAGAUGACUGGACAACAUGGUUUGCUGACCACCUCUUACACAUGACGUGGUCUCCAGUGUGUGCGGGAACUGACAAUUCUGCACUGAGCGCCUGUGGGCAGAGCUGACCCUGGGAAUGCGUAUCCAGCAAUAACUGCAUUUUUCAAAGAAAGGGUCAGGUUCCUCAUGUGUAGUUUCCUCAGUUAACAAGGGCAGCAGGCAGAGGCCAGGAAGAGGCUACCUGAAAACCAAAUGACAAUCUCUAGCAGGUCUUCUUUCCCCUUAGUGGGGCAGGAGGGAUUGCAUCUUGGAAUGCAUGGUUACUUUGUAGUCUGGCUGUCAUCUGGAUCCAAAUGGACUUGAAUUUGAAAAGUGGCAUGAAUAGCCAACAUUAGCUUUGAUUAUUCGGACUUCUUUUUCCAUAUUCAAUUCAUUAGCAAUUCAAUCCACGUGCAGUGUGAAAACUGGGAGUUACUUGGCAAAAAAAGAAAAAUUUCACCUGAAUUGUGAAGGGCCUGCUUGGGUCCUGCAAUGAUCUGGGGGGAGGAGGGGUCCUGCUGCUCACAUGCCUGAUAGUCACUGAAGUCCCAUUGAGCUCCUCAGGGUGACAUUUUACCCAGCAGUCACCACGCAGGAUUAUUAUGUAUUUCCAAAAGUCUGUGACGCUGUCUCUAUGGUUCCCUCGCGCCCUCUCUGGGGGUCUGCCCUUUCUUGAGGAUAUAGUGGUUGAUUCUUGUUGGUUCAAUGACUGGCCAUUUGAACAUCAGAACACAGCAGGGCUUCUCACGGGGAUUUUUUUGCUUUUGCUUGCUCUGCUUUUACCUUUACCUUAUUUUACUUUCAAUAUUACAAAAUAAUAUGUGCUUACUGAAGGCAAGUUAGACAAUGCAAAUAUACAGCAAAGGAAAGAAAAGGAAAAAAAUCACCUGUACUCUCACAACCCAGAUGGAGCCUCUGUUAGCACUUGGACUGUGUCCUUGUGUUUUUGUUUUGCUUUUAACAAAAAGGGGGAUCAAGGAAAUCGUCAGAGGCACGUGGCGUUUUCUUAGUAGAAUUUUCAAAAUGAUGCUUUAAGAAAAUCUCUUUAUUCUUUGGUAAACAGGAGUCAUCGUUGACGAUUCUCAAUGAUAUACUUGGUUUGGGAAACCUAGUAAGAAAUGCCCUAUUUCCUCCUUGCUGAGAAAGGGUAUAUCCAGAAGAGAGUGUGCAUGCACGCGUGUGUGUGUAUGUCUGUGUGUGUGUCUGUGCGUGUGUCUGUGUGUGCGUCCUGCGAGCCAGCAUAUGUAAAUGGACUCUCUGUGUCUCCUGAAAAAGAAAUUCUGUUGCUGGAUCUGCUGACUCACUGCCAAGCUCUGCUGCAAGCAGGGAGCAGAUUCUAAGUUAUUCGAGCCAAACAUUUGGCCCUCCUGGUUUAUUGGCUACUGUGACAGACUUCUCCUCACACCUCACCUCCUCGCUGGCGCGUGGACAUAUCAAGAAUUUUGUUCAUUUUGCCUCCUGAUCUCCUCCUGUUUCUUUCCAUUACUCGAUGACAAUUAAUCCCAGUACCAGCCCAGCUCCCUGAUGCACAAUGUCAGCAACAGCCAGAGGCUUCCUUCCUGAGGUCACUGCAGGAAUCCAGGUCUCCUCUAAGACCUGGCUCCUGAGCUCUGGGGAGGGACCCUGGGAGGGAGUGCCUUCAGCCCUCAUUGGUCACAGGCACAACAGCUCCCUGUUGCCUUUCCAUGCCCAAGGUAAGAGCAGCACAUUCAACUAAACUGGAGCUCUGUCACACCCUGGGGGAACAAGUGAGGGGUGCCAGCCAAGGAAGAGGAACUGUGCUAUCAUGGAGAAUUCCUCGCCAUCCAGGUAAAAGAUGAUUCAGCACAGACAGGUGUGACCAGGAACACCAUCGCAGAGAAGAUGCAUCGCAGGAUGGCAAGUCCAAACAAACAAAAAAAAAAAAAAAAAGAAAAGAAAAGAAAAGAAAGAAGUGUUUAAUUCUAAUUGGCAAAACCUAGGCACAGGAAGACACUGGAGGCAGCCUGCAAGGGCUUUGCAGGAAGAACUCCUAUUCCAGCUCUCUGGUAUUUCCCGUGUCUGCAUCCAGUGUUUGGGAUAUGCCAUUUGAAAAGUCUGUAAAGGAUCCUAAGUUUAAAAAGACCAAGGAUUGUUAGACAUGUGAUCACAUGGUCACCCUACGAUAGCCCCCUUUUUAGUAGAAUUUUCAAAAUGAUGCUUUAAGAAGAUCUUUUGAUUCCUUGGCAAACAGGCCUUGAUAAUUCCCAGUGAUGUACAUGAUUUUGGAAAUCUAGUAAGAAAGAAUGAUCAAUCUCUCCUGCUUCACAGAGGUGAAAACAGAGAAGACUUUAAGAAGCCUACCCAGGGUCAUAGCUGGUAAGCUGCAGAGGCCGACUAUGGGCCAGGAAAAUGUUGAGGCCUUGGGGAUCUUAUUCUCUGCUCUGCGUCCUCUUGCAAUGAAAGUGGUCAUAGUUCUCCGACUUAUCGCCAGAACUCUGCUAAUAAUUGGUUGCCUUAUAUCAGACAAGUCAUGUUACCUUUCUGGGUUUCAAUUUUAUCAUUUAGGGAAAAAUUUCUAUAAUCCUAUAGAUGUGUUUAUGCCAUUCCCUACCCACUCCUACAAAUCUUGGAAUCUUGGAUUCUGGAUAGAGAAUCACAAUUUGCUUCAAAGGAAACCCAGGCUGGAUUUUGCAUUAGUUCUUCUUUUGGACUUGACUUCACUUUCUCUGCAGGAGAGUGUUGCAGGGUCUCUUCUAUAAGCAGAGGCAACUCCCCUGGGGCAGCUGAUUCCAUUGGGUAAGUCCUACUUAAUGAUAACAUGAAUUUCAUUGUGGCCAAUCUUCCCACGAAAGAUUUAAGAGGCGACAAUUCAGGGAAGAGGAGACAUUCUUCAAUUAGGAAAAGUACCAUUCCACAUUUCCAGGAAAAAAAAUUGAUCCACAGAGGAGGGACAUGUUUAAAAGGACACAAAAUAAGGUUUGGAGGACUCAGCACCAAAUUGGCCGAGGGAAACACCCUUUUCAACCGAGGGCCACAGGUUCCCAUCAAGUCAUUUGGCCAGUAGUCUUCUGUUUCCCUGGUGGGGCUGCCAUGGUAAGACCCGAAGAACCACCUGUAACCCUCGGCAAAGAUACCUCCUGGUGAUCUCCUGCAACCUUGGGAGGCGAGGUGUCUCGGCAUGUCCCCUGUCAGUUUGCUGGAGUCCUGUGUCCCUGCCCCCUGUGGAGGGAGCUGUCACUUUCUGACCACCUUGGAGGCCCAGCCUGAUCCAGCCAGCACUCGGGGCGUGCAGAACUACUUCAGGCAGGAAGGCCACCUGGCCCGAGCAGCACAGCCUUCCAUAGCUUGUCUUGUCCAUGACAGGCUGUACUGAGGCUGGGCUCCAGGACACCAUUUACAUCGGGGAUGGAGUGCUGUGGCGACAGUGCUGACUCGUCAUCCUUAGAGCCACUUUGUAAAGCCAGUUCCCUUCUGGGUGUUGCCAUGAACUUGGGAACAACUUUCUAAUUCUUUAUCGCUCAGGGCAGAAUGCAUCCUUUCCCGCUGACCCCACGGAGAGGUAAACAUUACCCAGGGCCACAUGUUCUGGUCUUGGGAAAGAAACAUCAGAGCCUCAAUUUCCUCUCUCGUUCUUUGUUUUCUGCUGUUUGCUCCUUUCAUCCCGCAACUCACUCUCACACCUUUAUGGGGGUCUCCAAGGUUCCACUUUCAUUAAAUGAGGUCAUUCAUUCCAUAAAUUUUAAUUUAAAUGUCUCUUCUGGGCCAGGCAACGUGCCUAGGAAGAGAGCAGAUCUCUGCCCUGACAUUGGAGAAGCCGAGCACAGAUAUGGUGCUGACGCAGAGGGACAGGGAUGAUGCCAGAGGGGAGAUGGGAGUCAGAUUGCAAAAAGUCCCCCACGACACACAGAGAAGACUAGAUUUGAUGUUAUGAACAGUCGGAGUGUCAUGGAAGAUAUAUAGGUAUUUGUUUUUCCACACAAAAACCACAGAUGCACAUAUUCACGUGAGAGGCGAGUCCUUGAUAAAGUUAAGUUAGUAGCUCUACACGAAUGUUUGAUGGGCACCAAUUUUGUGCUGUGCUCUGUGGUGGAUGCUGUGGACAAAGAUGAGCAAAGCCUGGCUCUUGCUUUCUGGGAGGAGACUGAACUACACACAAUGCCUAAUGAUACGGACGUCAAGACCAAUAGAAGUUUCUUCUCCAAGCCAACAGAAGCUUUUAUGCAGGAGGACUGUUCUUAAAAAUUGUAUAAAAAUAGCCCUGCCUUGGUGUGGAGGGUCAACUGGCUAUUGACUGUAAUUUCCAUUCAGGGUCAGUUGCCAUGACUGUCACCGAUUUUGCUGUUUUUGUCGCGUGACAUCACACUUUGGGAAGUUCUACCUAACGGGUUUCUUUCUAGGAUUCCAUAGCCAGCAUCCAUUUGGACAGAUAAAUCAAAAUGAUGCUACCAAGAGAAAAGUCCGCUGGGGCCUGGCCAGGUCUGUUUUACAUAUCAAGAGUUCUUGCCUGUUUCCCAAUGUCCUGGGUAGAUGUGAAUUGUUUGGAGGUUGGCCAACUCAGACUUCUCAGGAAUAAAAAAUGUUCUCAUAAUUAAAAUCUUUCAGGCCCGAGUUACCUUUUGCCAAUAAUUCACUUGUGACUUAUACUUGGAGACAUAGAUAAUAUCAAAUUCCCUGAGUGGGGAGAGGGAGGCAGGGCAGGAAAGCUAGGCUGUGUUGUAAGGAUCAGUUGUCAGAAUAUUGCUGACUUCAUAAGCCACUCCGGCUUUUUUCCAGGCAACGGUUGAUCUAUUUAUAGCCUUGUAAUUCAGUUACCUAUCACUUAGCUUGUGUGUGAGUCACCCGUGAAAUAUAUGCGCAGAGACCGAAUGUACUAAUUACCAAGGCAGAGUGCAGGUGGGAGGCCUCUGUUAAGACCCCUGUUUAACAACAGUGGCAAAUUGUUGGGAAAGGAUCAUUUAUCAUUAAGUGACACUGAGACUCAUGGCAAAGCUCUGGAGCCUGGUUUAGAGGGCUGUCCAGCUCUGUGCUCUCUAGGGUGACUGACAGCGUGUUUGUUUCCUGGAGGGGGUGCUGGGCUGCAGGGUGGGGGUUGUGGUGGGUGGGGAGGAUUUGCCAUCGGGAGGGGGAGUAGCUGUUCGGCUCAUUGAGCUGAGUCAUUUGUGGUAACUUAAUUUUCCUUCAGAAGUGACAUUCUGACAGAGCUGUCAGAAAUGACUUUUUAUUAAUUUAUUUUUUUAGCCUCCACGUUUUUUUCCCCCCCUUCCUGGAAUGAUUUUUUCAUUCCAGACUAUACCUGGUGAAAUCUUGUCCAUCUCUCAAAAAGUCAUUUCAAAAAAUGUCUCCCCCUAAGGAAACUCAGGCCCUCAAUUUUCUUUCAAGCAGACAUUAGCAUAUUAAACCCAAAUUGAAGGUAUUAUAUUUAGGAGUAAGAAAAGCCUCAAGUUCAAACUAAGUGCGCGGUCCUGUUACGGAGGUAUAUCUAAGGUCACCUCACUCAGCAUGCCUAAAGCUUUCUCCUGUGAACUCACAAGUGUGUUCCCACCUAGCAGGAAGCGGGAGGAAUUGGUUCUUCCAGGUCCUCUUCCUAUGCUGGUCCUCAAAUAGCGGCGGGGGGGGGGGGGAAAGAGGCAGAUGUUGGAGAAUUUUUUAAAGCAAAGUAUGUGUUUGAGAGCCAGCUAGGGCCCUGGAAAAUGAAUUUGUUCUGAAUCUAGAUGAAACAUUUUAUCUCUCCAUGUAGCUGUCCGAGUGCUCCAUUUCGGCAAAGGAAACCUACCUUCAACAUGUCUUGGCAGCAAAGAAACUCAACGUCAGAUUAAUUGCUCAAUCACAAACAGGGAGCCACAGCCUCUGAAAGAAGCUCAACAUGAGAUGAUGUUUUCAUGUUCUUGAAAGACCCACUCUACAGCCCCUUUUGGAAGUGGAAUGGCUAAAUAUAUCCUAACAUGAGCAGAGAAGUCCCCCCUUGUCCUUGGACACUGUUGUGGAACUGGAGUCAUCUUGGGUACAGGGAUACUGAAGUCCCUGCAGCCUGUGUUGACCGUGGAGGUUGCCGGGUUGUGGUAUCAGUAGUUCAGAGGCUGUGUUGAACACUGAGAGAGGUCAGAAAUAUGGCCAAUGCCUGACUUCAGUGCUCUCGGAUUGGAAAGACUCAGCCACAUCCAACUAAUCGCCCCUCUGUACCUCCCCAACACAGGCCUUCAUUGUGCGAAGAUUUCAUUUGAGUCUUAAUGGCUGAAAUUGAGAAGUCAUUCAUCAUUCAUUGCAUAUAAGUUCUGAGUGCUGAGGGAGGUGUAAAGAAAGAAGUAAGAUCCAUCUCCACCGGACUGCGAUCUCAUCCAGACUAGCCUGACAUGACCUGCUCUUGGGGAGCUCAUAGGGUCCUAGGGGUUCAUAGCAGUUCUUUCAGAAUCACACUUACAUCAUUUAAAAACAAGUUUUAAAGAAUUUAGGUAAUUCAUGAACAUGGUUUAAAACAUCAAGCAGUGUGGAAGGCUUAUGCUAAAGUGUCAUCACUCUGACCCCUUCUCACUUAUCAGAAGUCCCCAGCCGCAGCCAUUUCUGCUUUUAGUUCUUUUGAAGCAACAUCUUUGUCUCUAAAAAUGUGCUAACUAUGGAGUCUCGAUUCAUAUUGUAGACCCUCUAUAUUGAAGCCUGUCCGUGGUGGAUGAGAAUCAGCUCGUCCACCACUCCACCUCUCUUCUUUUUAAUACAAUUAUAUCACUAUUUUGGUUUUUCUAAUGGUUACUUUUGUAACUCAAAAUAGUGUACUUUCAACUCUCUUUUUCAAUUGGCUAUUGACAUAAUCUCUUGACCAUCUACUUAGAAAGAUAAGGAUAUUGAUAUUCUCAUCUUCCUGCCACUUUUUUUUUAUAUAUAUAACUCCUUUACCUUCUUUUUUUUUAAAUAUUUAUUUAUUUAUUUAUUUAUUAGUUUUCCGCAGACACAACAUCUUUGUUCGUAUGUGGUGCUGAGGAUCGAACCCGGGCCACACGCAUGCCAGGCGAUCGUGCUACCGCUUGAGCCACAUCCCCAGCCCCAACUCCUUCACCUUCUAGCUUCUCUCAGAUCUAAUUUUGCUUUCACAAUGUCAAGGUCGACAAUAUUUACACUCUGUUCUAUAACAUAAUUAUUCUCAAAAGUCAUUUAAAAUGAUCCAUUGUAGGAUUUUCUGAGGACUUCAAGCUCAGUGAAUCAUCAUUUCCGGAAAGAGCCCCUCUUUGAAUAUUGGAGCAAUAUUCUGGCCUCUUUCCUACAGACUGUGGUUCCUCAAAGGUUAUUGAUGAUGGUUCUGAGCUCAAGCCUAGAAAUCCUUUUAUACCUUGCAUUAGAAUGUGUCCGGCUUAGAGUUUUGAGUUAAAAUUGAUUGAUGAUGGUCCUUUACUAUCUUCUUUCCCACUCUUCUUAGCCCUCAUUUUCCUCCUGAAGUUCUUAUCUGGCCACCCUUAAUGGAGAAGAAUGCUGCUGUCUUCUUUACUGUUUUCUACCUUCAAUCCACACUGUUUAUGCUCCCAAAGUGGCCCCCUUCCCUUCUUGACUCAUUUGUCUAAAUAGGACUUCAAACAUUCCACAUCCCACUCCUCUGUUCUUUCUUGUGAAAGAAGACUCAAAUUAAUUGUAUGUUAAUAAUGAAAAACUGGAGUUAGGGUUUUCUAUCUGGGUUUACACCAUGAAAAUAAUACACUAUUAAAAAAAACCUUUUUGAUGUAUUAAGUAGUUUUCUUAACACCAUCUCAUUUAAAACUUGCAACAGUUGAAUUCAGAGAGAUCAAAUAGCUUGAUUAGGUCGCCAUCAAUCUAUUAUAGAGUCAACAAAUCCUUCAGAACUGGGACCCUCUUCUCUUCCACUCAAACAUGCUAUUGACACAAGUUCUCAUCAUCCAGAACUUUUUGUAAGUAACCAAAUCACACUUGCUAUAAUAUAAACCAAUUUCCUUUUGUUUUAUCUUUAGUCGAUUAAAGAAGCCUACUCUAUCACCCUUAAAGGAUUAUUUCAAAAAGGUAGAUUGACCUCAUACAGAGUUAGAAUCAUAGGGCCCUAAGGCGAAAACAUCAAAGACACUGAUAGGUUUCAGAAGAGGCUUAAAUCACGAGAUCCCACUUUUCAAUUCCAAGAAAAAUGUGUGUGUGUGUGUGUGUGGUGUGUGUGUGCACGAGCAUGUGCCUGAGGUGAACAGGAUAGCACAUAGUUAUUCCUUCCUUCAUUUUUAUCCGUCAUGGGAAAUCUUUUCAACCUGAGGUAGAAAACUAUAGUGAAGAAUAUAGAACUGUAAGUCUGGGCACUCAGAAUUAUGCUGAUCCCUGGGAGGAAAUAUAAAAUACACUGUUUCUGCUCUCAGAUCAACCACAUGGCACCUUCUCUCAACCUGGUCCUCAGUGCGAUUCUCUUCCUCGGGCUGACCUGGUGUACGAAUCUGAAAAUUGACUGGACCUCUGACCUGAAGGAAGAACGUUCUGAAAUUAGUACCAGGAUGUGGUCAGGACUCAGCGGGUAUGGUCAGAGUGGCCGACAGGUGGAAAAGCAAUGGAAAGUUCUGGAAGAAGCAGACUUGGGAAGUGGAACCCUAACCUGGGGAUAGGAGAAAAGUACACAAAUUUCUUGAAAUAAAGCAGUCCCCUUUAUCAGGAGACAGCUCAAAUUUGCACCUCUGUUGCCAAAUAAGAACCUGUUCCUUUGAGGACCUGUCCAGCGAGGGAGCCCUCACUCCCCUCAGGCUCCCUGGGCACUGCUCAGGGGAUGAUUCUGUGCUAAGUGGGUCUACAUGUCUUUGAGGAGCUCAGGGUUUCAUGUCACCUGAACUUGGAGCAGGCAGCUGAACUGGGAUCCUUGGGCUUCUCUUAGUAUAGUUUUCCUCUUUGGGAAUGUUUCAGUCCUGGACUGGAAGGAGACUGGGCAGAACCCUGAGGGUUGGAUUUGAUAAAGCUGACUCUUUUCCACAGAGAGAAUGUGAUCUGCCUGAAUACCCAGUUCUCUGGGCCAAAAUCAACAUCUUUACGUCACAACCGGCUUUGUGAAUUCCAGGAAUGAGACUUCAUCAGCUUUUUUGAAAUUAGGAUUUUUGUCCGAUCAUACCGCAAGAAGAAAACAUCAAAACUAUGCAUACUCAGGUAGAGUCACUGUGCGCUGCAUGUCGAUGGAUUCGCUUAUUCUGUUCAGUGCAUAUUUGUCAAAGGCCUGAUACACUAGACAUGGAAGUAAUAAGAAGUAAUAAGGUAUUGCCUCUCUUCUGAGGAGGACUUCAAGAGCUGAGGAGACACCAGAUUGACCACGGAGAGUGUGCCAAGUACUCUGCACGAUUCUCUUUAGAGUUUCAGUACAACUCUGCAGCCAAAGUCUCCAGUGUUGUCCAAUAUGGAGUCUCAACUGGGAUCUUUUUAAAGGACCAAUCUGAUAUGUUGAUUAAGUGUGAAUUUUUUCCUUUAGGUUAGCAUUUCACAGCGUAUGAAUGUCAUUUCACACUGAUAUGAGGAGUCAGUCCCCCAAAAGCUCAUCUGUGAACAAUGUAAGAAUUUUCAGAGGUGAAACAAUCACAUUGAAAGAACUGUAACCUACUCAGGGGACUAACUGGGCACUAAGGGUGGGCAGGUAGGGGUGGCUGGAGGAAGCAGUGUGUCCUGAGCUGCUUUCCUCCGCGUCGCCAUUCUGCCAUGACAUUCUGCGUCACCUCAGGCCCACAGCCAUGGAGUCGGCCAACCAUGGUCUGAACCUCUGAAACGGUGGGCCAAAAUUAACUUUUCCUCCUCUAAGUUGUUCUUGUCAGGUCUUUUGAUCACAGUGACACAACCCCUGUGUCCUAUAUCCCAAAGGGACUAAAAUUGGGUGGCUUGUGUUCUUCACACUGGCUUAGAAGCUACUGAUGCUGAAUAUUGUUAAAUUUGAAAGUGAGAAAAAUUUCAGCUUACAGCUCAAUCAGCCAAUCUUAAUUUCUGCUGGAAGAACUCAAUUCUAAAGAUAUUCUAAAGAUAUAUGUUCUAAAGAUAGAAUAUCCCUUUUUGGAAAAAACGCUACUCUUUAUUAAUUAGCAUAAGUUUUUUAAAGGUGACCAAUCAAUUGUUUUAAGUUUGUUCCUAUUUUACAUAGUUUACUGAGUGAGUAUUUAUUUUGUGAGAUGUGAGAUAUACCCAUUUCUUAUUGGAAGCCCAAAUGAGAAUUCAGUGUGUGUUUGUGGGUGUAUCGUGGUGGUUAGGGUGAGGGCACCCGCAUUUACAGUGCAUCCGUGUAAGUCCUUAUUCAUUAUUAUUCAUAUGAAUAAUAUGAAUAGAAGAGGGAAAACAUUUAUAGAUCACUUAAAACAUUUCACUAGAAGAAAGGGAACAAAUUAGCCCACUUGAAUCACUAGCUUUGCAGAAGAGAAUGAGCAGAAGAUAUAUUUAAUCUUUCAUCAAAGACUUUAUUUGAAAUUACUAAUAUGCAGUUCCACUCAGAACAGUGCUUAAAUGAGUUAUUAGAACGUUUAAACGAGAUCCUCAUUGUUUUUAUUAGCAGUGUUACUCCUUACUCUUUUUGUUAGAAAAACACCCUGCCGUGUGUGCAGAUCUGUUUAAUUACAAUGCUUUUCCAUUUUCCCUCAAAUGUAGUUGACUUAUUUUAUAAAUAUUUCAAGUACAUAAUUGCUAUUUUGCUUUAAUGAAAAUCACAAAUGUAUUUAGAUAAUCUGAGGGGUGAGAAUAUAUGUGCUCCUGGGUCAGGUUUCUGGAAGAGUUAAAGCAGGACUUCCUGACUGUCUUGGCAGCGAUCCUGGGAGAGGGUCUGUCACCUUCAAGACCUCCUCAUGCAAUGAAAAGCUUAGACAUUAGGCAGACUUGGGCUUCAAGCCCAGCUCUUCUAUUUACUAAUUGGGUAAACUUAGUUAAGUUCUUUACCUUCUUUGAGUUUCUGGAACAUUUUGUAGAAUUUAUUGAGGAUAAUAAUUUUAAAUUUGUCAGACUGAUAUGAAAAUAAAUAGAAAAUAUUAAGCACUCUACAGAGGACCAGACAUAGUAAGCACUCAGUAAAUGUUAGUUACUUCGUGGCUGGCUACUUUUAAUUGAUAGGAGAGGUUUACUAAGGAGAUUCUUAAAAUUUUGAUCUCAGUUGUCAGUAAUGAACCACCUUCUUUGUUACUGGGGCUAAGAGUCCCCAGUUUUAAUCUAGGACCAACCCCUCUCUGUGCUGUGCAAAAAAGUGUGUCAUAGUCCACAUUUCAUCCUCAUCUCUGUGGCUCAAGAUUUCUCACGACAGCAAACGUGAAGAAACUACAGUCAUCCCAAAUGAAAAGGUGGAGCAGACGUGGAGUCCAGCCAGGGACUGGCGAAGGGGGCCAGGGGCUUUGCAUGAGGUGAACUGGCUGGGAAACUAGAGGAGCAGGUGACUUCCAGGGUCGGGUCUGGGCUCUUGGUGGUGGUGUGAGGUAGUCUUUCUUAGUGGCUCAGAAGCAGCUAUCAUCUGCAGAUAAUCCAUCCCAUAAUCAGUGGUUGGUAUUUCCUAGGAGACGCUGUGGUGCUGGGGAUGUAGCUCAGUGGUACAUCACCUGCUUGUCACGCUUGAGGUCCUGGGUUCAACCCCCAAACUUCCCCCACCUUCCAAAAAAAUAUCCUGGAAAAUUAUCCAUGUUCUCGUCACUUAACCCUGCAGCUCUCACUCAGUGCUCACUAACACUUUGGAAGGGAACUGGUCACUUCAGUUAAUGACACAGUCAGGUGAUUUACCUGUCAGAUACAUCUUUCUUAAGUCGAGGGCUAGGGAGGAUGAACUGGCAAGAGCUCAUAUGGCUUUCAUGUCCCGAGCUGCUUUCCUGGGCCAAUUUUCAGCCUACCUUAGAAGCCAAACCUUGACUGCCUAUUUAUUAUUUCUGACGUCUGGAGACACUCAAGGCCAGCCUGGGAAUUUCUACUCUAAAGGGUGAGCUUAUAGGACCCCAGGCCUUCCUGGGUAGAGAUGGAUUUCCUGACCCUCUCACAGAGUCCAGACUGCUGUCUUCACGGCACAAAUAGUUGCUCAACAUGGAUCCACUGUUUGGGUGAGGAUGAGUUUCUUCGGGAUGGCUUUUAAAAUAUUGGGCACUUGUGCUUGUGGACAGCGGUAACCUGCAUCGUCACUGUCACCAUCACCAUCGUUGAGAUCAUCACCAACGGGAAACAUCUGUUAAACACUAUCCAAGGAGUUUUGCAGAGAAAGGUUAGACAACACCAUCUAAAUCGAUUUUUUGAGGGUAGUGACCAGUUCUUCACUGGCUUUUUAUUCCUAGGGGUUGGCACAGUGCCCGUCACACUGUAGAGGCACACAAAAUUGUCAAAUGAUGAUUUCUGAAAGGGUAAAAGGGCUACAAAGAGUAGGGGGCAAAUUUUACACCCCCAUUUUUCUCUUUUUAUCAAACCAGCUCCCCAACAUUCCCAUCCCACACCUGAAAGAGCUGUGUUCUCCAGUUUGAGAAAGGAGUGCAUUUGGUCUCUCAGAGCUACUACUUGGAUCCAUGAAGGGGAGCACAGGAGGUAGCAUGUGGUAAUGUUAAGAUUUUGGCUGCCUUGGAAUUUUCAGAGAGAAGAAUUCUUUCUAAUACUAGAAAUACAUGGAUAUCCAGCACCUGCUCUUUCUCUGAGAUCAGAACACCCACUAAAAUCAGGAGGAGUGGGGGUGCAGUAUGGGAACAAAGAAUGGGGGCCUUAGUGUAUUAAUUUGAAUUUCAUUCUGUCACUUCACUUUGAGGGUGAUUCUGAAAAGUGAAUGCAUUUAUAAGUCUAUUAAUAACCAUAUUUCUCUCCUAAUCAUUAUGAUUAAGUUGUUGGCACUGCCAGGUACCUGCAGCUUCCGUCACAAAGCCCAAACAGUUUUGCUCUCCCAUUUGACGGCAUGGAGAUGCUGACGGACGAGGCCAGGGCACAUGCUGCUCACUUUCCUUCCUCUGUCACUCAAUUUAAAUUCAUGCUGAAAACACAGAGUAAAGUUUAAAACAGUUUUCUAAAUCAUAAAAGUCUUCCUUCAGAUAAGGAACUGUAAGUCAGCUUUCCCUUUAUUGGUCUAUUCCCAAGGAGGGUUUUUAUGGUCUCAAUGUCACAGUUGGUUUUUCCACAUUUUCUCUCCUUCCAUCCUGGUGUCUUCUGGUCCAUUCACUCACUGCAGCCCGAAGCUCUUGGAUACUUUCAAUCUCUCUAUCGUAUUUACUGUGAAAUUGUUCCAGAUCUCUAGGGAUUAAGUCCAGCUCCUGUCUGUGGUAUUGCAGUCCACACCACGCAGGGCCAAAGGGCAGACCUUGGAGAAAGAAUGCCUAGUUUUAACUUGGUGUGGGGCAAAUUACCCACCUCACAAAGCCUUUAUUUCUUCCUAUGAGAAUGAGAAUCAUAAUAGAACUACAUUCUAAGUUAGUAAUGAACAUUAAAACAAUACUGGGAACUAUGUAAUGUUUUGAACAGCCAACAAUAAAAAAUUUAAAAAAAAAAGACUUAACAAAUAAAACAAUACUGGGACCCUAAAAGUGUCACUGUCAUGACAAAGAGAAAACAGUCCCCAAUGCCCAGGAUCUGGAUGGCCAUGUGGUCUUGGUAUUCUCCUGUUGAAACAAGCACUUCACAGGAAAUUCAAGAUGGCGGGCUAGAGGAAGCUGCAUUCCUAGUUGCUCUGUGGCUUGGGAUUUGCACAGCAGGAGUACUGCUUCUUAGACAGGUGAGUGAAAGAAGGAUGUCAUUAAAGCUCAAUAUUGGACUGUCAGAGUGUCUUAGAGACUCAGAAAUUUGGGUACAUUAAACAAGGAAGAAAGAGCACAUUGCAGCUAAGCUGAUUGCAACAGUGGUAGUGAUUCAGCAGAGAGGGAGGGAGAACACAGGGAGAAACACAAUGGACCAAUUUGGGAUGGUAAAACCUGUAUAUCAGAAAAGCAGCUUGAAUUUAGCUGAUCCAGAAGCUUCACUGUGCACUGGUGCUUGAAAAGUGCUUUGUAUUUCUCAGCUGGUUGAGAGGAGGUGAAGCCAUCUUGAAGUACUCACACUGGGGCUGCUGCUGUGGAGCCAGGAGGUCACAGAAAAUACUGCCAUACUGUCCCUGCAAGCCCCUACUGUGUGACCUAGAGUGUACCUAGCAGAACAUUAGUGAAACAGGCACAGAGAAGAUUGCACCCACAGAAUUCAAAAAAGUGUAGGAGUUGGAAAAGUGUAGGAGAGCCCAACUCGCUUCUCCUUUGAAUCAGUCAGCUCACGCGAGCAGCUAAAGAGGGUCUAGAAUAUGAAGAGGCAGGUGUGAACACAUUCAGGGACUAAGCAGGGGAAGGCUGUGUUUGUGGGCAGCAAAGAGUGUGGAUGAUUGACCCCCCUAUCCCAUGAGUAGAAUUCUUAGAAGGAUCUCAUUAAAACUCAAUGUUGGACUGUCAGAGUGGCUUAGAAGGCUCUGAAAUCUAGAUUCUGACUGAGACAGACAACUGCCAGGGCCUAAGGGUGUGUUAAUCAAUUCUCUCUACAGCAGAAACCACCCAACAAAGCCCCUGAGGCCUAAUUAGACCUAAACCUCAGCCUCCAGGACUCCAUUGGUAGAACUCUGCUGCAACCCCACCCUAGGAGGACAGUGAUCUGGUCUGUGCAGACAAAGCUCCAACUGAAAGUACUUUCCAUCCCAUCAUACCACAUAAUGGUGAGAAGGAAAGCUGAGAGCUAUCUCAACCAGCUCCAGUCUUAGGCCACUACAAUUGGCAGCUUGGUGAGCAACACAAAAAGCCAAAGAAGAAAUGGAAGGAAGAACAGUUGGGCUUAGGCAGUGACCAUCCAGGCUCAUCAACUGUUUUAACCAUAACCACCUCAGUGGAGAUGAUUCUUUCAUUUUUCAUUAAGAAUCUUUUUUUCCAUUUUUAUUUUUGGUGUGCUUGCUGUUCUUGUUUGUUUGUGGACACAUACACACACACACACUUGUUUAUUUUUUCCCAUUUUAAAUGUAGGUAUUUUUCUUUGCCUUGUUUUUUGAGGAUUAGGUUUUGG
rnacentral:lncRNA from 1 species